UACGGAGGGGGCAAGCGUUAUUCGGAAUUAUUGGGCGUAAAGGGCGCGUAGGCGGCCCUGUAAGUCAAAGGUGAAAGCCCUCGGCUCAACCGAGGAACAGCCCUUGAUACUGCAGGGCUCGAGGCCGGGAGAGGAGGGUGGAAUUCCCAGUGUAGCGGUGAAAUGCGUAGAUAUUGGGAGGAACACCGGUGGCGAAGGCGGCUCUCUGGACCGGUACUGACGCUGAGGAGCGAAAGCUAGGGGAGCAAACGGG
rnacentral:rRNA from 1 species